AUGAGUGUUCUGGGGUCAAAGUGAGGCGAUCGGUAGCGGAGGUGGAAGGAGUCCCAGACGAGAUACAAGGGAUUGUAAAAGCCACGUGUGGAAUCGGAGCCCUUCCAGCAGCUUUCCUUCCCACUGCUCUCCAGGUGUUUUCCUUUGUUUUCUGGCUUUCUGGAAUGAACGCAGCUUUGGAGAGUUCGGAGUUUCCCUUACCUGUGCAGAGAUGUCAGGAUCUGGAGGCGCUCCCGUUUCCCUGGAGGAGGAUGCCCUGGAGAACGUCCUUAGCUGGGAUUUGGCUCCUGUGGAGCCUCCCAGGAUGAGCCGUGCUGGGCUCGGAUCCUGUGCUGGUCCUUGCACCACCCUCACUCCACGGACUGCGGGAGCUGCCGGGGUCUCUUUCUGUACCUGCCCAGCGGGGUCAGACCCGAUGGGCCCUCCAAGUGCAGGAUUUCUCUCUGAUCUCCCUCCAAGUGGAUUUACCUCUUGCUCUCGUUGAAAUCAAAGUCCUGUUUCAAAAGUAGAAUUGAUUUCUCAAGAAAAAUGUGCCACAAAAGCCAUUUUUUGUCCUUUGUUUCUCAAAUUUCUGCUCCUGGUUAUUUCUCUUGCAGCAAUAAUGAAUGUCACAGGAAUACAAAUGGGAAAGGGGAAUAAAUGGAAUGUGACUGCAAAUGCUGACUUUUGUAAAUUGGGCAGGAAGCAGUCAGUGUUCAAAAUGUUCGGGCCGCAGCAAUAGGAGCGGAGCCAGAGGAAAAGCCAGAAACUGCUGAGUUCAGUCCAGGGACACCUUCCACUCUUGCAGGCUGCUCCAAGGCCCAUGCAGCCUGGCCUUGGGCCCUUCCAGGGAUGGAGCAGGCACGAUUUCUCUGGGUUUAUGGGCACAGGAGGAAAUUCCCAGCAGGAACGAGACUUUUCCUUUGCUCUGCCCAGCCCCAGCAGGGCUUUGGGAGGCAGAGGACAUGGGAACAGGAGCUUUGGCCACUGCCUCGGGGGAGUCUCUGAUGUCCCAAAGGCCAGCAGAACAAACGUUUGUGGUUUGACAUCCCGUUCAAAGGAGAUGCCAGGCCAGGGACAGGAAGGAACCGCGGAGCAGGGCUGGCUCCAGGCAGAGGGGAUGAGGAAGCCAACCCUGCCGAGGAGGAAGAUGAGGAGGUGUGGGAGGAUGGAGACAGCGGCCACCGAAGGCUGGGGGAGGCACAGCUCCAGGUAGGAGAUGUUGCCUUCCAAGGAGAGGGACUCGUCUGUCCCACUGGAAUUUGGGGCGCGAGGCCAGUGGAACAAAGCGUUUGGUUCCGUUUUCUUGCUCGGGUUCUGAUGUGCCUUAAGAGAGAUUUGUGGAAAGGUCAUUUUAGUGAGUUUGCACUGGCUUUGAAGGAAUGUGACCUCUGGGGCAGAAAUCCCUGCACAGCUUCUGAGUGCCCCCAUGGCUCAUCUGAACAGUUUGUGGGCUGGGCCUCCUUGUUUCCUCCUUUUCCAGGCCCCAGAUGGAGUCCUUCUUUUCCCAAGGGAGGGAAAAGCCAGCAGGAUGUGAACCAGAGGUGGUGCUUUAGGAAAAGCCCUCCAGCCUGGGAAGGUGCUUUUGGCUCCAGACACAUUCCCCAUGAGCAGCAGGACCUGUGCUGUCCCCAGCAGAAUCCUCUGAGGCUGAAACAAAGACAAGGAGCCUUUUGAGAUGGAAAGAGGCAGAGCCAGUUGUCCUGGGAAAGGAAAAUGAAAGAUGGGAGCCAUUUAAGCGAGAGGCGCCGAAAAGAAUUGGAGUUUCUGAUUUUAAGUCUCUGACUUAAAUUCCCCUUUGGAUUGUCACCGCUCCGAUUUUCACGGGCUGGUCACCUUGGCCGGGAGUGUCCAAUCCUGCUGAAAAUGCAUUGGACCGGGAUGUCAUUUCCAUCUUAUCCUGGUAAAGACUGGGUGACCCCCAGUCACUGGAAGGACUGGGCUGGGCUCCCAGGGCACUAAUUCCAGGUGUUCUGUUUUUAGGAGUAGCACGGGAGCCUUGCCCUUGCCCAGAGGAGCAGCCAGUGCCUCCCUUAGUCCACAAAUCCCCAGGAUGGAAGACAAAGGAGAUAACAGGAAUGUGGAAGUCCCCUACACUGGGAGUUCACGGUGCUUUGGAUUACAUUUUGGAUUUAUAAUGUUAAAAGGGGGAGUGUGGAGGGGUCUUUCUCUCUCUCCUGUUCAUUAUUGUACUCGCUGCUCUUGUUGCUCUCACCGUUCCUCUGUGUUGUCAUUAACAUUAAAUGAUUGUAUUUGAAUUGGUUUCCAUUAUUAAACUGUUCUGAUCUCA